GAGCAGAGGGUGGUCAGCCAGGCAGGCGGACGACCAUCCGGAAGGGACAAGGACCUGAGGGUGGGCUGGGGGGAGGGGGUUGUGGAAGGGGACAGGAACCUGGCUGAGGACCCAAUGCAACUCACAGCCCUCUACUUUAUCUGCAACUCACAGCCCUCUACUUCUACAGUGGCUCUGAUGCAUUUGUUCAUUCAAUUUGAUGAGAAUCUGGACCAGAUCCAGCAGGCCCCGCACACCUGCUCUGCAGAAUCCACCCGGCGAGUUGCUCCCCUGUGGUCCAGGACUCCACCUCGGCCGAGAAGCACUCCUCUGCAGGGACGAGGGGGUGGACACCGGGGGGAAGGCACCGAGCAGAACAGCCAGGAGGGCCCAGCCGCGCUGCCUCUGCUGCUCGUCCGGCUGGUGCCAGAGCUGGGCUGCGAGCUGACUGAAGAGCUCGUUGCGCAGCCCUGGCCGGCGCUGCCCCUGCCGCACCAGACACAGCCGCGGGGGAGCCCCAAGGGAGCACGCGCCCUGCGAGAGGAAGAGGGGCCGGUGAGGAAAACCAUCUUAAAAAUACAUCUCGGGGGGCUUCCCUGGUGGCGCAGCGGUUAAGAACUCGCCUGCCAGUGUAGGAGGCACGGGUUCGAGCCGUGGUCAGGGAAGAUCCCACAUGCCGCGGAGCAGCUAAGUCUGUGCACCACAACUGCUGAGCCUGCGCUCUCUAGAGCCCGCGAGCCACAACUACUGAAGCCCGCGUGCCUAGAGCCCGUGCUCCGCAACAAGAGAAGCCACCGCAAUGAGAAGCCCGCACACUGCAACGAAGAGUAGCCCCCGCUCACCGCAAAUAGAGAAAGCUGCGUGCAGCAACAAAGACCCAAUGCAGCCAAAAAUAAAUAAAUAAAUAAAUUUAUUAAAAGAAAAAUACAUCUUGGGACUUCCCUGGUGGUCCAGCGGUUAAAAGUCCCACGCUCCCAAUGCAGGGGGCUGGGGUUUGAUCCCUGGUCAGGGAACUAGAUCCUGCAUGCCACAACUAAAAAGGGUCCCGCAUGCUGCAACUAAAGAUCCUGCACAGGCAACGAAGAUCCCGUGUGCCGCAGCUAAGACCUGGCGCAGCCAAAUAAAUAAAUAAAUAUUAAGAAAAAAAAACCUCUCAAUCACUCCUUCUGAUUAGAAAACUAAAGCUCGUGCAUGCGGAAAACUCAGAAAACACGGAAAAGGGUGAAGAAUAAAAACCACCAUUAACAUUCCACUGCCAGAUAAAACCACAG
rnacentral:lncRNA from 1 species